GGGGUUGUGGCUCAGUGGUAGAGCACUUGCCUAGCAUGUGGGAGGCACUGGGUUCAAUCCUCAGCACCA
rnacentral:tRNA from 1 species